UCCUUAAUGUUACAGAAUAAACAUACAUACAUGAAAUCAAAAGCUUUGUAAAAAAAUGAAUCGGAAGAAAAGGAGAUAGAAACAUGAAAGGAAUAUUAUCGAAGGGGGGAAAAUUACCUUCCAAACCCAGAAACCCAAAAUGAAACCCUUACCAAAUUGUUACCUCGACAAAUCUACUCACAACAUAAGAGGGAGAGAGAGGUAUACAUGUCUACUGCAAAUAUUAGUAGAUGUGCUACGCACAUCACGAAGCAAAACUUCAAUGAUGAGCAAACAAAAGUGUAACACGUAGAAAUUGCACCGAGAAAAAACAACACAAAGAUGAAGGAUGCAGCAUAAGCCAUCGAUAUGAAGAGUUGCUAAGUUUCUAAC
rnacentral:lncRNA from 1 species